GUGGGCCUCACCCAGGCCCUCAGCCCGCGUAGUUAGUUGACCGGACGCGGCGACCGCGCUGUCCCACCGUCGCCCCUCGCCUUUCCCCUCCUCCAGAGUCCAGACCCGCACACUUCGCUCCACCAACCGCGCUCACCCGCCCGCGGAGCGAAGCUCGCCGGGGCGUCGCCGGCACCGGUUGCCCGUCAGCGGAACCCGCGGACCACGGAAGAUUUCUGCUUCACGAGUCCAGGAAGAACAACACUGACAUCAAGCAAGUCAUAUUCAGCAGGGAACAGCAGCAUCGUUUUGAUCUGCCUUUUCGCAGGAUACUUGGGCAAUUCAUAGUGGAAACUUCAACUUGUUCAAGGCCUCUCUCUUCACACCAGUACAUCAUUUUACAUCCUUGGAAAUUGUGGAGCGAGCCUACUUGAGAAUGCAAUGUAGCAGGAGUCAUUAGUUUCAGUAAGUUGGAGACUUGCCCUGGAGCUGCCAUACUCGGCUGCAUUGGCCUUUGAUAGAUGGUUUUUUCUCAGACAUCCUCUCUGGCAGUAAAGCUUGCACAAGGACCCAAGCUCUUUACUACAAAGACAAUUCUCCCCAUGGAUCCCCCGGGUGUUGUCUCCUCUGAAAAUGCUGAAUAUGAUUUUUCUGAUGUUUUUGGUUCCAGUCCAGUCGAGACAGCAACAGAACUUUGUGUUGUUGAUCCAGACAGCCCUGCAGCUCCCAUUGAGUCCCCUGAGGAGGUUUAUAAUGAUCCUGCGGUCAUCUUCAAGCGGUCACAUUCUCUUGUUGGCCCAUCAUCACUUGUUAGCUGCUCUUUGGGACUUGGCAAGCUCACUCUAAACAUAGCAGAUGGAUCAUCAGAACUUGUAGGCCACACUACAGAAGAAAAGGAACUUAACCUAGAGCAGUUCAGUGAUGAAGAGUUUGGUGAUGCCGUGACUGAGGAUGAGGGUGUUGGGCUUGAUGACUUUGAAAUCUUGAAGCUUGUAGGCCAAGGGGCAUUUGGCAAAGUCUUUCAGGUGAGAAAGAAGGGUACUUCAGAAAUAUAUGCAAUGAAAGUUAUGAGGAAGGACAAGAUACUGGAGAAAAACCAUUCCGAGUACAUGAAAGCUGAAAGAGACAUACUGACAAAAGUUGACCAUCCUUAUGUAGUGCAGCUGAGGUACUCCUUUCAGACCAAAUAUCGACUUUACCUUGUCCUGGACUUUGUUAACGGGGGGCAUCUAUUCUUUCAGCUCUACAAGCAAGGAUUAUUUAGGGAGGAACUUGCACGAAUCUACACAGCUGAGAUUAUAUCUGCUGUAGCCCACCUCCAUGCUAAUGGGAUUAUGCAUAGAGAUCUUAAGCCCGAGAACAUCCUAUUGGAUGCUGAAGGCCAUGCCAUGCUAACUGACUUUGGCCUUGCGAAAGAAUUCCGUGAGAACACCCGAUCAAACUCGAUGUGUGGCACUCUCGAGUAUAUGGCCCCUGAAAUUAUUCAGGGCCAGGGGCAUGAUAAGGCCGCAGAUUGGUGGAGUGUAGGAAUCCUCCUGUUUGAAAUGCUGACGGGCAAGCCCCCGUUUGUCGGGAACAGAGACAAAGUUCAGCAGAAGAUAGUGAAGGAGAAGUUGAAGCUUCCUCCGUUUUUGACUAGCGAAGCCCACUCGCUGCUGAAAGGAUUGCUGCAUAAAGAAGCCGGCAAGCGGCUGGGAACCGGACCCGGCGGCAGCGACGAGAUAAAGAGGCACAAGUGGUUCAAGCCGAUCAACUGGAGGAAGCUGGACGCCCGGGAGAUCCAGCCGAGCUUCCGGCCCGACGUGGCCGGCCUGACCUGCAUCGCCAACUUCGACGUGUGCUGGACCAACACGCCCGUGCUGGACUCCCCGGCCGCCACCCCCGUCACUGCUGGCGGCGGGCAAGGCAACUUUGCGGGGUUCACCUAUGUCAGGCCCGCGCCGUUCCUCCAUGACCUGAAGCCGCCCUCAAGCUCUAGCUAGCUAGGCUGCAAGUUCGAGGAGCAGGGGCAGCACCAAACACCAAGCAAAGCAGCAGAUUCAGCAAUCAGCAGGUACUACGCAGAUACGCAGGUACUACGCAGAUACGCAGAUUCAGCAAAGCAGCUCUCCACUCCCUGGACAAAUCGAUUCAACAAUCAGCAGCUGCCAAACAGCCAGAAUAACCCACGGUUUCAUGCAAGCUACUACUAAAAAAGAGAUAAUAACAUACCCUGUCACAAAGGAUCACAAAGGCAGCAUUGGUUUUGCAGUCCGACAAUGACACCGGCUACUACGAUGACCACGGUGAAGCCAAGACCAUGGACAAGCUCAACUCCACCUUCUGGCAGGGGGUCGGUCUGAUCGGAUGCGUGCAGUCAGUCGCGUGUCAAGAAGGUGGUGUUCGAUCAGUUCACCGGGGGGACAAACCAGGUUGGGUUCCUGAAGCUGGCCCUUGGGCGAGCGGUGCUGCUGCAAGAGGUGACAGUCAUAAACUGCAGCCGUUGGCUUCCAAGAGAAUGUGGGUCUUGGACAAACCUUCUUUGGAGGUCUGUGGGGGCGCAGCAGGUCACAUUUGGAGGUACAACAGAGCACCUGAUCUUUCUAGCAAAGACCCAUUUAUUUCUUAAGGCAGUCCUGAUGGAGCGUUCGUUAAGUAGCACUUAGCAGCUAGAGCAUCAUCGAUCAUUUGACUGUUUGAGUGACCUAUUUAUUUGUUAAGGCAGUACAGAUGGAGCGUUCAGAGUAAAUAGCAUAAAACGAGUACUACUUUACAGGCUAUGGUUUUAAAAAACUACCGGUUUUUAAUUUUUUUCAGAUAACUACCAAAU